rnacentral:rRNA from 1 species
ACUUGCUUUCUUUGCUGGCGACCGGCGCACGGGUGAGUAACACGUAUCCAACCUGCCGAUAACUCGGGGAUAGCCUUUCGAAAGAAAGAUUAAUAUCCGAUGGUAUAUUAAAACCGCAUGGUUUUACUAUUAAAGAAUUUCGGUUAUCGAUGGGGAUGCGUUCCAUUAGUUUGUUGGCGGGGUAACGGCCCACCAAGACUACGAUGGAUAGGGGUUCUGAGAGGAAGGUCCCCCACAUUGGAACUGAGACACGGUCCAA